AAACAUAUUUCCAAGACAGUUGUCAGUAUUUGCUCAUAGGUUAACGAGUUAUCAUAAACUUAUGUAACACUUUGCUAUAUAUGCACUUGGCUCGUAUUAAAAUCGCGGGCAAUUGAUCCAUUUGACCGACAAGAAAAUAGCGAUAAAGUAUCAGUAGCAACGCGUAUUCAUCUCGAAUGCUUACACAUUCAGGUCUUUAUACACAGCUAUGUUAUACCGUAAACAUUUUCAAUGGUAGAUGUAUACUUUAUGAUUUAUAAUGACAGAUGGAUGUUUUUUCACGUGUAUGUACAGUAGGGUGGUUCUUAUUUUAACGAUUGUUUACGUCUAUGUUACGCAUUCACCAAAUACCUUGUAAAUACUUUACAGAAAGUCUGUGUGAAUGUAAAGCAUGUUAAAGUAUACAUAGAGAAAUUUCCUCUUCUUAUAAUGUACCAUUUAUUUUUAUAUCUAAAGAUCUUAUUAUUAUUUCGCAGCCGAUUAGCUCGUUAUUAUUCGCAAUGAAAAAUUGUUCGUAAUGUAAAACCAAUAAAUAUAAAUAAUAAAGUGUUUUUAUUUUAUUACGCAUUCCUUACAGAUCCUUUAACAAUUUUUAUAUCAUCAACAGGUCUAUCAUUUUUAUCAGUUUCAACUAAACCAAUCCUCUUUACUAUUGCCAUACCUGUAUGAAUUCGACC